UACGGGAGGCAGCAGUUAGGAAUAUUCGUCAAUGGGGGAAACCCUGACGCAGCAACGCCGCGUGAAGGAUGAAGGUUUUCGGAUUGUAAACUUCUUUUAUCAGGGACGAAAACUGACGGUACCUGAUGAAUAAGCUCCGGCUAACUACGUGCCAGCAGCCGCGGUAAU
rnacentral:rRNA from 1 species